rnacentral:rRNA from 1 species
UACGUAGGUGGCAAGCGUUAUCCGGAUUUACUGGGUGUAGAGGGCGAGUAGGCGGGAUUGCAAGUCAGAUGUGAAAACUAUGGGCUCAACCGAUAGAGUGCAUUUGAAACUGCAGUUCUUGAGUGAUGGAGAGGCAGGCGGAAUUCCCGGUGUAGCGGUGGAAUGCGUAGAUAUCGGGAGGAACACCAGUGGCGAAGGCGGCCUGCUGGACAUUAACUGACGCUGAGGCGCGAAAGCGUGGGGAGCAAACAGG